UUUAAAGUCUAAUCUGCCCUAUGAGGGGUUAAAUGGCCGCGGUAUUUUGACCGUGCAAAGGUAGCAUAAUAAUUAGUUUUUUAAUUGAAAGCUGGAAUGAACGAUUGGACGAGAAAAUUACUGUCUCAAUUUAAUUUAAUUAGAAUUUUAUUUUUAAGUAAGAAAGCUUAAAUUUUAUUAAAAGACGAGAAGACCCUAUAGAGUUUUAUAACAUUUUAUUUAUAAAUUUUUUAGAAUAUUUUUGUUUGUAUUUUAAUUGUUAUUUUAUUGGGGUGAUAGAAAAAUAUGAUUAACUUUUUUUAUUAUAAAUUCAUUAAUAUAUGUUUAAUUGAUCCAUUAUUUAUGAUUAUAAGAUUAAAUUACCUUAGGGAUAACAGCGUAAUUUUUUUUUAGAGUUCUUAUCGAAAAAAUAGAUUGCGACCUCGAUGUUGGAUUAAAAUAAAUUAUUGGUGUAGAAGCUAUAUAAUUAGGUCUGUUCGACCUUUAAAAUUUUACA
rnacentral:rRNA from 1 species